rnacentral:rRNA from 1 species
AUGGGUUUUGGAAGGCCAUGUGAUACACGUUGGGGCUCUCACUUCAAAACCGUGAACCAUGUCAUCUCUAUGUAUGGUGCAAUACGACGAGUCCUCGUCAAGAUUGGAAAAGAGUACCAUGGUGCGGAGGCGCAAGCGGCUCUAACCAUAUUAACACCAUUUCGAUCAUUUGAGUUUGUUUUCAUGGCACACUUGAUGCAAGAAAUAUUUGGAUACACAGAUGAGUUGAGUAGAGCUUUGCAAAAGCAAGACCAAGAUAUUGUUCAUGCUAUUGAGCUUGUUGAUAUCACAAAGUAUCACUUAGAGGGUUUGAGGACUGAUCCUGGAUGGGAUGAUUUUCUCAAAAAUGUCACAUCUUUUUGUACAUAG